ensembl:snRNA U6 U6 spliceosomal RNA
AUGUACGCACUUCAGCAGCAUGUAAACUAAAAGUGGAACGAUACAGAGAAUAUUCUGUAUGAAUCGUGCACAAGGAUGACACACAAAUUUGCGAAGUGUUCCGUAUUUUG